rnacentral:misc_RNA from 1 species
AUGCUGCCGUGGAAUCAACGGCUCGUCUGAAAUGCCUCAGUGUACCCCACCUUGUGGCGUAUUCGGUGUGAUACAUCUUCACCGGAGUUGAUCCUUUUGGAUCGCGCUUGUAAUGGUGUGGCUCUAUGCUUCCAACCGUCUUAAUCGACAAUCUCUGACAAUUUGACCUCAAAUCGGGUGGGACUACCCGCUGAACUUAA